GAGAAAGACAUAAUGGUUAUGAUGUUGGCUUGAAACCGGCUAUGGAGGGUUCGAUUCCUUCCUUUCUUA
rnacentral:tRNA from 1 species